CCGACCAUAGCUCAGUUGGAAGAGCGCGAGACUGUAAUUGGAAAACUUCAAUAUCUUGAGGUCGCCUGUUCGAACCAGGCUGGUCGGA